rnacentral:lncRNA from 1 species
GGAUCUCCUCCGACCCCGAAGGAGAGCGGGGUGGGGGGUAGGGGGUGCGAGCGAGCCGGGCGCAGAGCGGGCGGACCUCGGCGGCGGGGCUGCAGGUGGAGCCCGGGAGCGACCGAGCCGAGGCGCCUCCUUCCUGCACGGUUCCCGGCCCCGUGCGCGCCGCCCCCGGCGGAGGUCCCAGCGGGGGCGCCUCCGGCCGGAGCCCAGCCCUCGCCUGCCCCACCCCCACAGCGGCUCUCGUAGGGGGAAGGGAAAAAAAAAAAACAAACCCGGACAGCAUUGCUGCGUUGUGCCAAAUCAGAAAAAUAAAUAAAAAUAGACGUAGUGCAGGAGCCAGUUACAAGAAAGGAUUUGCCCAUCGAUUUUCUUAAAUGGAAAAGUUUUUUAAAGGGCGAGGGUAAGUGAAUGGCGCGCCCGCCCGUUCUGUAUGACUGUAUCCGAGGUGGAUCCCCGAGGCGGCGGACGCUGCGCGCGGCCGGCGCGGGCGAAGGCGCACCUGGACCGGGGGCGCGCGGCUCUCGGCGCACGGACGCGUGGCGCAGCGGGCAAGCGCGCGCGGGGACGACGCGACGGCGUGGCGGACCCAGCGAUCGGCCGUGCAACUUGUGCGCUCGCGAGGGUGCAAGGGCUCCAGCGGUCCCUGUCGUCGCCGUCUUCCUCGUCUGUCACAUCCUGUCAUCAUCAGGUGCCACCGGCCCCCCUCAGACCGUGUCCCAGUGGGCUCACUUCCCAUCUUCCGGGGAUCGCAGGGUCCGAGCCAGGCUCAUCUUCCCUGGGAUUCAGCCCUGGCAGUCAGGGUGGCCCCUGCACAGAGGAUGAGCUUCUAACAAAGAGUUGCCUCUCUGGGCUCCAGCGAGCUAUCCACGUGGAAAAUAACAAAGUUAGACUCUGCCUCACAGCACCUCUGAAAAUAAAUUCCAGAUGGAUGGAAGAGCUAAAAGGAAAAGAAAAAUAA